rnacentral:rRNA from 1 species
AACGAACGCUGGCGGCAUGCCUAACACAUGCAAGUCGAACGGGAUCCUAGCUUGCUAGGUGAGAGUGGCGGACGGGUGAGUAACACGUGGGAAUCUGCCUUUGGUUCGGGAUAACCGCGGGAAACUGCGGCUAAUACCGAAUGCCCUCGAGAGAGGAAAGAUUUAUCGCCAGAAGAGGAGCCCGCGUCCGAUUAGGUAGUUGGUGGGGUAAAGGCCUACCAAGCCGACGAUCGGUAGCUGGUCUGAGAGGAUGAUCAGCCACACUGGGACUGAGAUACGGCCCAGACUCUUACGGGAGGCAGCAGUAGGGAAUAUUGGUCAAUGGAUGCAAGUCUGAACCAGCCAUGCCGCGUGCAGGGAAGAAGGCCUUCUGGGUUGUAAACUGCUUUUGCCAGGGGAUAAAAUUUCCAUGCGUGGGAAACUGAAGGUACCUGGUGAAUAAGCCACGGCUAACUACGUGCCAGCAGCCGCGGUAAU